rnacentral:misc_RNA from 1 species
AGAAUGAGAAUGCAAUUCAAAGACUAACUUCUCUUUGGGUUGAUUCCAGGGAAUAGCAAAAUCGUCAGCAGUGGGUGAAUGAGUGCGGUCCAAGAAAACCCAUUCACUCACAGAAUUGUAUGCCGAAGUCUGUUCAGAUGUCAUUCUCUUCUUUGAACCACCUCUCUUCUUCUUUUUCUUGUUCUUCGACCCAUUCGCACCUUGUUUUUUG